rnacentral:rRNA from 1 species
UACGGAGGGGGCUAGCGUUGUUCGGAAUUACUGGGCGUAAAGCGUGCGCAGGCGGUGGCUCAAGCCAGGCGUGAAAUCCCCGGGCUUAACCUGGGAAUGGCGUUUGGGACUGGGUCGCUAGAGUGUGGCAGAGGGAGGUGGAAUUCCACGUGUAGCAGUGAAAUGCGUAGAGAUCCGGAAGAACACCAACGGCGAAGGCAGCCUUCUGGGAAGUACCUGACGCUGAGGGGCGAAAGCUAGGGGAGCGAACGGG